CUUUCUCUCUUCGCCUGCUGCCGUCCAUGUAAGAUGGGACUUGCUCCUCCUUGCCUUCCACCAUGAUUGUGAGGCUUCCUCAGCCACGUGGAACUAUGCCCUGACCUUCCGGGAAACCCUCGGUGAGAGGCCCACAGCCUCGCUUCUAGGGUCACCACUGCUUCUUCCAGUCUAGCCAAACAGCUCCUAGUACAGCUCAGAGCACCCUGCAAGGAGGGCACGUGUUAAAUCGAGGAGCACACAUGCUCCACGAGGAAUUCUUUGCUUUGAGGCCAUGCACAGAGGUGGGUUCACUAUGAAGCUUGUGAAAUAAGCUUCAGGGCCCGCAUUUGCAUGGGCCACAGAGAGUCUGGGAGCUGCAGAAGGUUCAAGGGAAGAGGAGCCAUCACAAGCAGAAUAUUCUAGAAGGCAUUUCUGGCAAAUGGCCCAAAGAGGCCUCAGGAGAAAAGAACUUGAGUCUUCAAGGAUGCAAUGAGAAGGCACCAUCUGUGAGGAACAGGCCUCCGACAGACACCGAAUUUGCUGGCACUUUGAUCUUGGACUUCCCAGCCUCCAAAAUUAUCCAUAAUGGAUUCCUGGGACAUUUUCAGAUCUCCUUCCAGCUUCCUCUUCGCCCUUUCCAAGUCCGCCCGCAGUUUCUUCUCCUGCUCUAAGGAACCCUCAAGCUGAGAAGACACACAGAGACAAGGGCUUGCUCUGUUGCCCAAGCUAAAGUGCAGUGGUGUGAGUGUAGCCCACUGCAUCCUCACACUCCUGUGCUCAAGUGAUCCUCCCACCUCAGCCUCCCAAGUAGCUGGAACUACAAGGUAUGUGCCACCAUGACUGGCUUCUUUUUUGGUGUGUGUACAGAUGGGGCCUCCAUGUGUUUCCCAGCUUGUCUCAAACUUUGAGCCUCAAGUGAUCCUCCUGCCUCAGCCUCCCAAAGUGCUGGGACUACAAGUGUGAGCCACCAUGCCUGGCCUCACUUAUAAUAAUUUCAAACAGAGGAGUUUGUGAAAUUACAAGUUCAUUUUAAAGAAUGAAGCCUCUAGAAAUUUGCCACAUUUGAACAGCUGGUUAUCUCACUCUUCCUGCUACCACCAGUUGGAAAAUGACUCAUCUACUCUAUGUUAUCUCAAGCUGACAAAAUAGUUUCAAAACAUUACUAUCUUUUAACUUUCAUUAAAUUUAUUUUUAAAUA